rnacentral:rRNA from 1 species
GACGAACGCUGGCGGCGUGCUUAACACAUGCAAGUCGAACGGAAAGGCCCUGCUUUUGUGGGGUGCUCGAGUGGCGAACGGGUGAGUAACACGUGAGUAACCUGCCCUUGACUUUGGGAUAACUUCAGGAAACUGGGGCUAAUACCGGAUAGGAGCUCCUGCUGCAUGGUGGGGGUUGGAAAGUUUCGGCGGUUGGGGAUGGACUCGCGGCUUAUCAGCUUGUUGGUGGGGUAGUGGCUUACCACGGCUUUGACGGGUAGCCGGCCUGAGCGGGUGACCGGCCACAUUGGGACUGCGAUCCGGCCCAGGCUCCUACGGGUGGCAGCAGUGGGGAAUAUUGCACAAUGGGCGGCAGCCUGAUGCAGCAACGCCGCGUGCGGGAUGACGGCCUUCGGGUUGUAAACCGCUUUCGCCUGUGACGAAGCGUGAGUGACGGUAAUGUGUAAAGACGCACCGGCUCUCUACG